UGUAAAACUUUUGUCUUUUGGGGAUUUUUAAACACACUUCUACUGAGCCCAUCCAACAGUCUCUCGAGGGGAGGCCAGAUGGGAAUUUGAGCCCUUCCACUGAGCACUUCUACUGAGUCUCUCGAGGGGAGGCCAGAUGGGAAUUAGCACUCCCAUCGCCCUGGUGACGCCUGCGGCGGGUGGGACUACGGGUGAUUUCUCCCCCUGGCAGGGUUGUGACUCUUCCAGUGUUUCCUCCGGCAGUGACCAGGGAGCUUUUCACCGCGUGGCCUCAAGGCGGCCUGGCAGGCCUCUCCAAGCCCAGGGGAUGCCUGCAGGCCGGGAUUGUCCUUCCGUGCGUAAACCCGGCUACAGCGCCCCCUGUUCGCUCAAACGCUAAUCCACUUGCCGCCCUGAGGUGUUUCAUGGCUAUGAUCCGAGUCCGAGUCCGCAGGAAGGAAGAGGAUCUGGGUGGGCCUCGGCCAAUCAGCCGAAGCGCUGAGGAUUUCCUCGGGAGGACGUUUUGCUGGCGGACGCGGUCCCCAGUGCUGUCCCGGAGCCCCAGCUGCCCUUCCCGCCACGGGCUUGGGACUUGCUGAGCCUCCACGGUCACGGCAGCCGGUCCUUCGCCGCGUCUCUUCAGGGCUUUCAUCCACGGACAAACCCACCCGCCUUGAGCGCGCGGCCACCCCUCUCUCCUGCUUCAGGUGUCUCGGGACACAGCGCAGCCGCGUUGCGAGCAGUCCUGCCAAGCACAGCCAUUCCGGGGAAAGCCGCGGCUGCCAAAACGGCCGGUCCACUGGCUCGGGACGCGCGGCCCGUGGCGGAAUCUCAGGACUCGGGAGGCCUCGAGGUCCCCCGGGUUCACGGUCCUCAGCACGAAGGGGAGGGUGGCCUCGGGAGGCACUUGUGUGGGACGGGCGUGGGUAGUGUUGGGUUUGGGGCCUCAGUGACUCUCCUGAGUUCUCGGUCCUGGAAAAAACGCUCCGACCUUCAGAAUUCUGAUUUCAGCGGACUUGCUUAGCUCGAAUACGCCUUCGUUUUAGCCCGGAUCCGGAGCUCGUCGUUGACUUCAGGGCACCCGGGGCGAUUCCCUGAGACGCCGAUGUUGGCCGAAGACCUGCGACAGAAGCCCUGUUGCAUCCAGCCCACGGCGCCUGGGGUCCUGGGCCGACCUCAGCUGUUACGGACCGGCCUGGACCGGGCGGGACCGAAGUGCGGCCCCACCCUCUCUUGCUGAGACCCUAGCCCUCAGCGUGGCAGAUCUGGAGUAAGGGCUUUCAGGGUGCAGGCUCUGAGGACAGUCCAGGCAGCAAGAAGGGGGCCAUUUGCAAACCAGGAAAACUUUCACCAAAAUCCAACCAUGCCGACACCUCGACCUUGGACUUCCAGCCUCCAGAACUGCGAGAAAUAAA